rnacentral:rRNA from 1 species
UACGUAGGGUGCGAGCGUUGUCCGGAUUUAUUGGGCGUAAAGAGCUCGUAGGCGGUCUGUCGCGUCUGCUGUGAAAACUCAGGGCUUAACCCUGAGCUUGCAGUGGGUACGGGCAGACUAGAGUGCGGUAGGGGAGACUGGAAUUCCUGGUGUAGCGGUGAAAUGCGCAGAUAUCAGGAGGAACACCGGUGGCGAAGGCGGGUCUCUGGGCAUUAAACUGACGCUGGAGGAGCGGAAAGCAUGGGGAGCGAACAGGAUUAG